GUACACGCUGUGACUAGCAUAUCAAUAAGCGGAGGAAAAGAAACUAACAAGGAUUCCCCUAGUAACGGCGAGUGAAGCGGGAAGAGCUCAAAUUUGAAAUCUUAAAGGGUUUCCCUUUACGAAUUGUAGUUUAAAGAAGUGUUUUCUGUUGAGGUUUUGGUAAAAGUUCUUUGGAAUAGGACAUCAUAGAGGGUGAGAAUCCCGUAUUUGACCUUUACUUUCAACUUUGUGAUACACUUUCAAAGAGUCGGAUUGUUUGGGAAUGCAGUCCAAAAUGGGUGGUAAAUUUCAUCUAAAGCUAAAUAUUGGCGAGAGACCGAUAGCGAACAAGUACCGUGAGGGAAAGAUGAAAAGAACUUUGAAAAGAGAGUUAAACAGUACGUGAAAUUGUCAAAAGGGAAGCGUUUGACACCAGUGUUGUUUUUCUGAAAAUCAAUUAAAGAACUGUUUAUGCUAGCUGUUUAGACUUUAUCAGCUAUCUGUUUAGUUUUGAGCUUUUCUUUAAUGCACUUUUCAGUUAACAAGUCAACAUCAAUUUCUUUUGCUGUAAAAAAGCUUGAGGAAGGUGACUUGAGAUUCGUCUUAAGUGUUUAUAGCCUCUUGCCUAUGCAGUCGGAGAGAUUGAGGUCUGCAGCGUAGAUCCUUCGGGGCUAAAUGCAUUUGUGCUAAGUUAUAGCAUUUUAUAGACAACUUGUUGACUAUGAUUUGUCUUGUAGCUUACUCGCUUAUGUUAUUUUACCUACGCUUAGGAUGUUGAAGAUGUAGCACAUCAU
rnacentral:rRNA from 1 species